CCCUGGGUUUGCGAGCCCAGGGACGCUGACGCGGACUCUCGGCGGGGCCUUCUGCCAGACCUGGUGCUGGGAGGCCACCACCCUCAAUUGAAUUGACAUUCCAGCUUCCCCAUCGCAAAACCCCUACGGCAAAGCCCAUGCCCUGACUUUCCAACAACUGGGAAUCGAGUGGACUUCCCACAAGGAGGAACAGUGUCAUGUGAGAGGAGCUCCUCAGCCUCAAGUUCUCCGCUGCUCCCUUCCACUGCCUGCACAAUGGACCCAGCACGCCACUCCUACUGGGCCAGGAGAGCCUCUUACUCACUGAUCUCCCCUCCACUUCUCCCCACGCUGCCUGGGCAGCCCCGGGACAGAAGUCUCUGAGCUCACCUCUCCAACCUCGAAUGAAGCUGAGCGUUUUCUCCAGGCUGUUGACUCUGCGGCACGCUGGCUGUACACACACACACCACGAGUUGUUCUCGCCCUUCCUGGGGGCCUCCCUUCUCAUCUCCCUGCUGGGCGCCCUCGAAACCUGACUACUCAGCCUGAGUGCAGAGCCCUGGCAGAGUGGGGAGCCUGGAGGACCAAGGGGAGGUGGCCAAGGGAGAGAAGGAGAGGGCCCGUAAUGGAGGAGGGGCCCCGCAUGCCUGAGAGAAAAGAAGCCAGCCUGCAGCCACAGCCUGGAGGAGAGGGGGAGUAUAAAGGGAAAGCCAACACUAAUCCCUCAGCCUACCUACGUGGGGCCUGACAGUUUACAAAAGCCUUUUCCCUGAAUAUUAUCUCAUUCACUCCGGGCUAUAAGGAAGGUAGGGCAGAUAGCGUUACCCUCACUGACAGAGGAGAGAGAUGACGCCCAGAGAGGUUAAGAUAGGUCUGUACCAAGGUUGCAGAGCUAAGAGUGGUGGAGGAGCCCCCAGGCCUGGGGUUUCCUGCUCCCAAGUUCACGUUCCUGUUCAAUAGCUCUGUGUGUGUGAGUCUGGGUGACUAUCUGUGUGGAGGGGAAGGUGGGGGGUGGCUGGACAGGAAUGAGCAGUCCAGUGAGGGAAGUCCAGGAAGGAAGGACAUAGCCUCAUACCUCUUCCUCUACUCAGGUCUCAGCCAGCAGCCUCCUGCUCUUUCCGUAGCAGCCUGUGAGCCGGCCCCCAACUCGCCUGCCCAGGGGUGAGCUGUCUGUGGCUCCAGCAGUGGCUAUUCCAGAGGGCUUAUAUCUUUGGGAGGCCCCGCUCUGCUUGUCUGCUCGGCUCUCCUCUCUGCCUGUCAUCCCCACCCCCAGCCUCGGCUGCAGGAUGC
ensembl:lncRNA